rnacentral:rRNA from 1 species
AUUGAACGCUGGCGGCAGGCCUAACACAUGCAAGUCGAACGAGUGGCGGACGGGUGAGUAAUGUCUGGGAAACUGCCUGAUGGAGGGGGAUAACUACUGGAAACGGUAGCUAAUACCGCAUACCAUCGGAUGUGCCCAGAUGGGAUUAGCUAGUAGGGGGGGUAAAGGCUCACCUAGGCGACGAUCCCUAGCUGGUCUGCGAGGAUGACAAGCCACACGGGAACUGAGGCACGGUCCAGACUCCGACGGGAGUAAGCGGGGGGGAAUAGUGCACAAUGGGCGCAAGCCUGAUGCAGCCAUGCCGCGUGUAUGAAUAAGGCCUUCGGGUUGUAAAGUACUUUCAGCGUGGAGGCGUUACCCGCAGAAGAAGCACCGGCUAACUCCGUGCCAGCAGCCGCGGUAAUUC